rnacentral:rRNA from 1 species
CAGUAGCCGCGGUAAUACGUAGGGUGCAAGCGUUAAUCGGAAUUACUGGGCGUAAAGCGUGCGCAGGCGGUUAUAUAAGACAGAUGUGAAAUCCCCGGGCACAACCUGGGAACUGCAUUUGUGACUGUAUAGCUAGAGUACGGCAGAGGGGGAUGGAAUUCCGCGUGUAGCAGUGAAAUGCGUAGAUAUGCGGAGGAACACCGAUGGCGAAGGCAAUCCCCUGGGCCUGUACUGACGCUCAUGCACGAAAGCGUGGGGAGCAAACAGGAUUAGAUACCCGUGUAGUCCCUGUCUCUUAUAC